GUUUUGUAGAAGGUGCUGGGGUUUGAGGGGUCAGUCGGACACGAUUGGCAGGGAGAGCACUAGAGACAAGGUGUCACUAUGUUGUCUUAACAUUGUCUAGGCUGGUCUUGAACUCCUAAGCUCAAGCAAUUAUUUCGCCCCAGUCUCCCAAAGUGCUGGAUUACAGCUGUGAGCCACUGUACCUGGCCUCUCUUCUUCUGGACAUAAAAAUGAAUACAUGAAGCUGGAUGCAGUAAGUCUCACCCUGUUGCCCAGGCUGGAGUACAGUGGCGCGAUCUCGGUUCACUGCAACAUCUGCCUCCCAGGUUCAAGCGAUUCUCCUUCCCCAGCCUCCCGAGUAGCUGGGAUUACAGAAACACGCCACCACGCCCGGCUAAUUUUUGUAUUUUUAGUAGCGAUGGGGUUUCACCAUGUUGACCAGGCUGGUCUCGAAUUCCUGACCUCUUGAUCCACCCGCCUCAGCCUCCCAAAGUGGUGGGAUUACAGGCAUGAGCCACCACACCCAGCCAGGAAAAUAUUUUCUAUUUUAGCUAAAAACAAAAGUGUAUAUUUAGGAAAGAGAUGGAAUAGACCCCAUCUCAGAAUUCAUAUCAAUUCUGAGGAUAAACAAAGAAGCAAAUCCAUGGCUGUGUCUACACAAUUACAAACAUUCAUUUAAGCAUUUAAUUACAUGAAUUCAACUAACAAAGUAAAUUGUACUAAAAUAAAUAAAAGUCCUUUAUUUUUCUUUUCAGUCAUAUAAGUGAUAUAAACAGUUGAUUAGUUGAGGAUAUUAAAAAAUUCUUAAUAUCACAUUUUGAAUUAAUAAUAUUUGUUAUACUCUAAUUACAAAAUAACACCUGCUUGUUAUGGAAAAUUUGGAAAAUAUGAGAAAAUCUCAACAAAAUUAUCCGUAAAUCCACCUUUCAGGUAUAAUUGUUGCUUUUUUAGUGUAUGUCUUUGGACUUUUCUAUGCAUAAAUUAUGUGUUUAAACAAAAUUGGACUAAAGUUGUAUAUAUUGUUUGCAAUUUGUUUUUUCCUGCUCAAUAUUAUGCAUGAUCAGUUUUCCUUUAUUCUACUACAUCUAAUCUCUUAUGAUUGAUAUAUACAUUGAUGCCAAUGUUUUGUUUUUAUAAAUAAAGCUGAAAUAAAUGUCUUUGUAC
rnacentral:lncRNA from 1 species